rnacentral:rRNA from 1 species
GAUGAACGCUGGCGGCGUGCCUAAUACAUGCAAGUCGAGCGAAUGGAUUGAGAGCUUGCUCUUAUGAAGUUAGCGGCGGACGGGUGAGUAACACGUGGGUAACCUGCCCAUAAGACUGGGAUAACUCCGGGAAACCGGGGCUAAUACCGGAUAACAUUUUGAACCGCAUGGUUCGAAAUUGAAGGGCGGCUUCGGCUGUCACUUAUGGAUGGAACCGCGUCGCAUUAGCUAGUUGGUGAGGUAACGGCUCACCAAGGCAACGAUGCGUAGCCGACCUGAGAGGGUGAUCGGCAACACUGGGACUGAGACACGGCCCAGACUCCUACGGGAGGCAGCAGUAGGGAAUCUUCCGCAAUGGACGAAAGUCUGACGGAGCAACGCCGCGUGAGUGAUGAAGGCUUUCGGGUCGUAAAACUCUGUUGUUAGGGAAGAACAAGUGCUAGUUGAAUAAGCUGGCACCUUGACGGUACCUAACCAGAAAGCCACGGCUAACUACGUGCCAGCCGCCGCGGUAA